CGAGGAGCCGUAGAGGGGUCCGGGCCGAGGUGCGCUCGCGUGGAAGUCGUCGCUGCCGCUGGCCGCCCGCUCGCCUGUCCGUCCUCGCUCCCCGCCGCCAUCAUGCUGGCGCUCAUCUCCCGCCUGCUGGACUGGUUCCGCUCGCUCUUCUGGAAGGAGGAGAUGGAGCUGACGCUCGUGGGGCUGCAGUACUCGGGCAAGACCACCUUCGUCAAUGUCAUCGCGGUCCAGUUCUUCCAUUUACGGUGUUCCUGAAAUGCUGACAAACAGACCGGCCUUUUCAAACUCGUCUGCCUCCUAGACUUUUAAUCAAUAUCUCUUUGAAGUAUAUCCACCACCAACCUCAACUAUAUGUUUUUCAGCAAUCUGUGCCCUCCAACUUGCAGCCUUCCGGGAGUCCUGUGGAGUAAGUCAUCUUCUACCUUGUUAGUAUUUUCCUCAUCUACCAUGGAGAUUUGACUUUUUUUUCUGUUUUGCUUAUUCUAUUUCCAUGUCUUCAAUUCUCUAUCUUUUUAUAUUGUGAUUUGGAGAUAUUGCUUUAUCUUAAAUUUAUUAAGGCCAGAGUUUACAUUUCUGUUUCACAUACUUCUUACAGUAUAGGAGGAGAAAGGGCCUAAAAACAUUUCUUUACCACUUUAAAACUAAAAGUCUGCUAACUAUAAGAUGGUAGCUAUCAAUGAAUAAAUGGAUUAAUAAAUGACUAGACAUAUCAGUGGAACUGUUGGUUUGGUGGUCAUUGUAAAUGUGCCUCAAACACUUGUUGAAAAUUGAGUAUGAAGCCACAACGAAAUAGUAAAAUCAGAUUGACUACAUUUUUUCCUUUCCAACAAAGCUUCUCUCCUUUCUAAUUUCAUAGGAGAUGCUGAAAUUGACUAGUGAGUGUGGAAAAAAAGGAAACUGAUGAUUAAGUAAACACAGUGCUUAAGUUUAAAUAUAUCUAAGAGUUCAGCUAUUAUUCUUAAGUACCUCCGCCAUCUCCCCAAAGUCUAUCCAUCCAAUUAUUAAGAAUGCAAGGAGAUUCCACUGGUUACUCCACUAUCUUCAGCGGAUAGACAAUUACAUCUAUAACUACAAAAAUGCUGCUUUGCAAUCUACACCAUACUCUCUAGGAAUUUUACGUGACAAAUUUGGGUGAUUCAAGCAAUGGUACUUGCUAACUGGUCACAAUUGCUGAUUGGCUGCUCCUUCAAACAGAAUCUUGUGUUAAAUUUCUCAAAGAUUGAGAAAGAUAGGGCAUCUUUCUUUGUAUCUUUGUUCUUAUGUAGAACAAAGAUAUUAUGAAAAAAAUAAAAAUAUGAUUUUUAGAAUUGAUGAUAUAAAACAAUAUAUUUAGCAUAGAAAAUUAUAAUAUACACACUGUAGUUUAGGAAGUACUCAGCUUUGGAGAGUCCAAAUUAAGCAGGCGUUAAAACUUACUGGCACAUAUAGAGCUCAAACAUGCUCUUCAAUGUUUCAAAACUUCAGUAACUUUUACCAUAACUGUUUAACAUUGUGGUAUACACAGUUGCUUACUUAAUGGAGAAUUCUCUGAAAUAUCACCAAACAACCUGUUAAUAAGUCAAAACGAACUUUUUAAGAACACACAGUAAAUGAGAACACUAUCUUAACAGAAUCUUACCAGUUUCUCAGAAGGGGAAAGUCAUAAGGGGGGAUUUACAAGACUUGGGGUCUGGAUUCAAAUAUGUCAAGGCAAGGCUUUCAGGGCAGGAAAGUGAUUGGGAUAGAACUUUGUGUGUGUGUG